UCAGCGCCCACGUGCUAUAAAACCGGGAACGUAUGCGCUUUUUGAGGUGUGUCGCUUGACUAAUCGUAGCGCCGUUAACGCGCUGUCGUCAUUUCCCCAGAACUAAAUUGGAGCACGCGAGCUGAGACGUGACUCAAGUACUGGUUUUGAACCAAUGCUCCUUGCUGCGGGGCCACCUGAGGGGGUUCGUAGAAGUACAUAAACACUGGAGAAGCUGUGGUAACCGGACACGCUUACCGAAUAGUUUUUGUUCCCUGCAUUGACACGUACUACUCGUAUCAGUGGUUGAAACCCAAAUCCCUUCAGUCCGUAAGUAGUUUUUUUCAUAUAAUAUAGUGGGGUAAGGGGAGUGUGUUUUAAUAGUGUAACGCUCUCUUUCUUGCUUUUUAGGUUAAGUGAAGGUCCAUAAACUGCACUAUAGUCGCCUUUUUGCUUUAAUGGUUGCAGGGCUGUCCUGUUUCCAGACUUGGUUUAAUAUUCUUUUUUGGUUUCCCAUAUAUCUUCCUCUGUUGAAGUUGAACUGAUUUCUUUUAUUUGUUUUCGGCUUUGAUUUGUUUAUUCGAACUGACUUCCUUUAGUACUCCGUGGAGCUAAUUAUGUAACUUAUAUGGACAAGUUGUGUUUUGUUUGUUUUUCUUUUGUGCCUUAAUUCUCUUGAUUGGUUGUGUUGAUGAUGCUAUUUCAUUCUCAAGUGACAAGUUACUGACCUGCCUUUGUCGUAACAGGGCCUGAGCACCGGGGCAGAGAAUUUCUUUUAGGUGGUGGUAUCUUCCUCACAGCGUGCAGUGAUCACCUUCCUGUGUGUGUGUGUGUGUGUGUGUGUGUGCCCGUGUGUCUACACAGUGAAAUGCAGUCACCAGUGAGUGGUGUGGUCUGUCCUCCCUAGUUUCGGUAAGCUCCAGCCCGGGGGCCCUUGACUUUUAGAAGUGUCUUGUGUAGAUACAACAACCUUCUAGACAAUUUUAAAUGUUACUCCAUCUAAGAUUUGUCAAUAAAAAAUGUCAUUUGUCUAAUUUAGGUGGUUUAUUUCAAUUCUUUGGGUGAAAUUCCCAUAGUGGCGUAGUCGGAGUGCUAGUCCCCUUCCAUAGUGGGGAAUUUUGAUCUUUCCUGCCACCUGACCCCAUCAUCCCAACGCCACACUAGCACAUGUAGUAUAAAGCUGACGGUUUCUUUGCCACACCAGAAAACACGUAUAAGCAAUUUUCCGCCUAUUUAUGUUUUUGUUAUACAUGUACAUAUGUGCAUUUUAUUCACUUAGUGGAAUAAAAUGAAGAAGUUACCCUGAUCAAAAUGAAUGCCACUCAUUACAUUUGAUUACUUUUUGACUGCCAUUAUAUAUUUCUAAUUUUUUCAACUGUUAGUUAUUUCGAAACGUUUAAAUCAGGCCUUUUUAACCUUACAGUAUCACUCAACACUUCCUGUCAGACUUGAAUUAAGAUUGUAAUUAAGUGAUAAUGCACAUCUUUUCUUAUGUUAGUUGUUGUCACAGAACGCGGUCGUAGGAAAUACGCUCAAGAGGUCAAGUCUUGAUCCGGUCACAUUCUGCUUCAAGUGAGGCUUUAAAGAUCUGUCGUUGCUUUCAACAGUGUCGUUCUGGCGGUUUCUCCAUCUUUAAAACCUCAUGUUCUUUAUUUACUCUCUAUGAUGCACAGCUUUGUGUUUUCCCUCUAAUAAUCUCCCAGACUUGUUCUUCAUGCUGGUUUUGUACUGGUCUACUGACAUGGGUCUGUGAGCGGGAAGCAGAGGACAGCACAGAUCUGAUUGGCUCACA